UGGCUGAGCGGUAAAGCGCUUGUCUUCCGACCCGGUUGUCCCAGGUUCGAAUCCUGG
rnacentral:tRNA from 1 species